CCGACUCCGACUCCGACCUCCUCCGCUGCUCCCUCUCAUAUCACCGCCAGCUCGCCGCCGGUCUUCAACCGCGUCGGAGCCUAGCCCGCGAGCCCCGUCGCCGCCAGUCUUCACCCUCGUCGGAUCCAAGCCCAGAUCGAGUGAUUCAAUGGAACAAGAUAAUAUUGAUGAAGCCACUGAUGAUUUAGAAGAUUCUUGUGAGGAAGAUGAAGUUCUCACUAUUGUGUGAAGUUUGAUCAAUGUUGGCAGAGCAAAUCAUAACACUAUUGGUGAGAAUUUGUGAUCAUCGUUAUGUAUC